AAACAAAAUAUAUGCGUGCAAAACCCCUAUCUCUUUGGAUGAAAUAUAUGACUCUUCUAUAUUGCAGAAUCACCAUGAGGUGUACCUAUGGUACCUAUGGCCUGCCCAUGUUAGGAAGGCAUGAUAAGAAUUUAGCAUAAUCUAGGUCCAGGAGAUACCCCUCACAUUAUCAUUAAAAUCUGUGUCCUUUCUACCACAUCCUCAAAAUCAUCUCAUCUAGUUGCUUCUGAAUAUGAUAUUACCUAUAUUAAAAUAUAUUUUAUUUAUUUUGUUAACUAUUUUCCAGUUUCAUUUUUAUCUCAUUUGAGCUAAACUCAAGAGUAUUGUGUGCUGCAUAGUGUCUGUGGGCCAUGUAUUUGACACCUGUGAGAGGAAGUAGUCAUGUUAAUAAGGUCAUAGCUACACUGGAGUGUUGUAAUACUGGAAUAUGAGAGCCACACAAUAGCUCUUUAGAUACCCCUAAGUCCUUACCAAAAGGCACUUGCCUCAACCAUCAUGUCAGUUCUGGCUCUGCUUCUGCUCUGCCUCUAAGGUGACUGAAUAAAGCAUGAAUAUGCAAAAUGCGUACAUGCCUUUGGGGGUAGCACUUAGGGUGUAAGAGCAUUAUCUCACAAGUGGUGGGGUGAGAGAAAUGCACAACAGAACCAAGUGGUGCUGGCACUCAAAAUGUGAGCAACACAGCACUUAUGCCAGAAGAGGUUUCCCUAGAAUGCCGUGCAUUCGUCUAUUCUAAAUCACUCCAAUGUGUUUUUGCUUACCACAUUGAUAGCUGCUGACAUUUCAUGUCUAUAUGAUUUUCACAGUGAAAACACUCCAGUUAUAACAAGAGGAUAUUCCAUUUGUUGGAAGAUGUGCUCCAAAUGGCAAAGGAUGUCACCCUUCAGAGGUCCUUAUGAUCCACUGAAGUUCUUUCUCUGGAAGUGGAUGGCAGUCCCUAUUAAUGCCUUUCAGAAUUGUCCAAGAUCAUCGCAUUGCUGUGAGUAGCGUUUUUUAUAAUCAUUGCCCAAUAUUGUUGUUAUUGUGUACAAUGUUGUCCUAGUUCUCUUAUUCACUCUGCAUCAGUUCCUGCAGAUCUUUCCAGCUUUUUCUGAAAUCAUAUUGCUUAUCAUUUCUUAUAACACAAUACUAUUCCAUCACCAACAGCCAUUCCCCAAUUGAUGGACAUUCCCUCAUUUUCUAAUUCUUUGCCACCACAAAAAGAGAAUCUAUAAAUAUUUUUGUUACAAGUAGGUUUUUUUACCCUUUUUAUUAUCUCUUUGAGAUCAUACCCAUAGUGGCAUUAUUGUACAACAGAUAUGUACAGCUUUAUAGGCCUUUGUAUAUA
rnacentral:lncRNA from 1 species